GCCUGGCUGGCUCAGUUGGUAGAGCUUGUGACUCUUGAUCUCAGGGUCAUGAGUUCAAGCCCCAUGUUGGGCU
rnacentral:tRNA from 2 species